AAAUUGACUCAGCAUUUCUAUACAUUUGUUCAAAACUCUCGACUUUCUUCUGUUGCAUUUCAGCAUCACCAAUGGUAAAAGACUCAACUAACACAUCCAUCAUUUUGAAACUUUACUUUCGUAACAGUUUUGUAAAAUUAUUUGCUUCUUUCUCUGUUAUUUGGCAACACUUAUUGUAACAGUUACAUUGUUAUUGUUGUUUUAUUACAGAUCGACUCCUUCCGCUUCUCAGGUAGUCGAACUACGGGUGGAC
rnacentral:lncRNA from 1 species